rnacentral:rRNA from 1 species
UACGGAGGGGGCUAGCGUUGUUCGGAAUUACUGGGCGUAAAGCGCACGUAGGCGGCUUUGUAAGUUAGAGGUGAAAGCCCGGAGCUCAACUUCGGAAUUGCCUUUAAGACUGCAUCGCUAGAAUCUUGGAGAGGCGAGUGGAAUUCCGAGUGUAGAGGUGAAAUUCGUAGAUAUUCGGAAGAACACCAGUGGCGAAGGCGACUCGCUGGACAAGUAUUGACGCUGAGGUGCGAAAGCGUGGGGAGCAAACAGG